GUGCUCUCUUCAGCAGCACAUAUACUAAAAUUGGAAUGAUACAGAGGUUAGCAUGACCCCUGUGCAAGGAUGACACACAAAUUCAUGAAGCAUUUCAUAUAAAG
ensembl:snRNA U6 U6 spliceosomal RNA